rnacentral:lncRNA from 1 species
CGGAUCUCUCCAUUAUUCCAAGUGUGUUUCCCCUAUUUUUUUGUUCUGAAAAACCCAAAAAAAUGAAGAACAACACCUGUAUUGAUUUCGAUUUUUUUUUAUUCCAAGUCAAAGGGGUGCUUGGUUUUUAAUUAUACAAGAUAGAAGAUGAAACUAAAUUUUGAUGUUGAUGAAGAAGAAGAAACAAAAUUGACAGGAGGAAGAAGAAGAUAAUUGUGAUGAUGAUGCUGUUGAUGAAGAAGAUGAAAUUGACGAUGGAGAUUGGAGAGAAGUAAUGAAGAAAUUGCAGAAGAGAGAGAAAAAAAAAAGAGAAGAAGAAGAAGAUAAAAGAAGAAAAAAACAGAAGAGAGAUAAAAUAAUAUAAAAAAUAAAAGAGGAAA